rnacentral:lncRNA from 1 species
CUGACUUGUGGCUGCAAUAAUAAAAAGCGCAGAAUGACCAUGACGGCGUAAGACAUCGAUCACAAUUCAACAAUUGCACACAAUGACAAUGCGCGGAUACUAUUCUUACCUCUGCUGUUUUUGUCGAACUCUGACGAAGUGCCGAUGGUCCUGGAUCUCUUAAUGCUUUCAGCGCGUCUUUGUAGGAACAAAUCCAGAGCAUUUCCAGAACCUCGUCGACGAAUACCUGCCAAAAUGUGCCGGUUAUGAAUUGAAAACACAAACACGUGGUGUUCCUAAGCUAAAGAAACACGGCUCAAAUGAUGAAUGUGAGGCAAUUGUUUCGCGAAUACCAGCAAGUGAAGCAUCUGACUGAUUUUCUUUGUUCCUCUUCCGACCUACACAUGAAAGACAACACAUGAGCCUCGCACACACGGAGGUGCAAAGCACAAUUAAACCAAUCCUAUUGCAAAAUCAUGCCUCUCUUGUACGAACCUGAGCCUGACAAAUUAAUCAUCGGCUGCUGCGAACGCGAAUCCAUAGCCAGCAAGAAUACCGUCAAAAACCACUCUACAAACCCACACAAGAGCUCUUUGACAGCAAGCAAAGAAAUUACGUUUGAAUUUUGAAAAAUCAAAAGCAUAGUCUAAAAUGCAUCCCUGAUUACGUGCAGUUUCCAUAAUGGAAGAGAAGAAAUCUGUAUUCAGCAAUCAACGCAAUCAAUCGGGAAUUAACAGCCACGAAGAAGGCAAGCUGGCAAGGUACUGUAUC